rnacentral:ncRNA from 1 species
GAGGUAGAGGCGCAAGAGCGAUGAGUACUUUCCGGAGGCGGCAGCCGAGGAAGGAAGGGAAAGGCAAUCUUGCCGAAAUGAGCAGCGGGCACGCUGUCUUGUUGGGCCGUCAUCGAAGAGGUGACGGACUGUCACCGCAUUCGGUGUUGCGCUAUC